GACGAACCGUGCGAACGUUGUUCGGAAUCACUGGGCUUAAAGGGCGCGUAGGCGGCUUCGCAAGUCCGGGGUGAAAGCCUCCAGCUCAACUGGAGAAGUGCCUUGGAUACUGCGGGGCUCGAGGGAGGUAGGGGUGCGUGGAACUUCCGGUGGAGCGGUGAAAUGCGUUGAUAUCGGAAGGAACGCCGGUGGCGAAAGCGACGCACUGGACCUCUUCUGACGCUGAGGCGCGAAAGCCAGGGGAGCAAACGGG
rnacentral:rRNA from 1 species